GAUGAACGCUGGCGGCGUGCUUAACACAUGCAAGUCGAACGAACCUUCGGGUUAGUGGCGGACGGGUGAGUAACGCGUGAGAAUCUGCCCUCAGGAGGGGGAUAACGGCUGGAAACGCCGCUAAUACCCCAUAUGCCGAGAGGUGAAACGAGUUUUCGCCUGAGGAUGAGCUCGCGUCUGAUUAGCUAGUUGGUGGGGUAAGAGCCUACCAAGGCUUCGAUCAGUAGCUGGUCUGAGAGGAUGAUCAGCCACACUGGGACUGAGACACGGCCCAGACUCCUACGGGAGGCAGCAGUGGGGAAUUUUCCGCAAUGGGCGAAAGCCUGACGGAGCAACGCCGCGUGAGGGAUGAAGGCCUCUGGGCUGUAAACCUCUUUUAUCAAGGAAGAAGAUCUGACGGUACUUGAUGAAUAAGCCACGGCUAAUUCCGUGCCAGCAGCCGCGGUAAUACGGGAGUGGCAAGCGUUAUCCGGAAUUAUUGGGCGUAAAGCGUCCGCAGGCGGCCUUUUAAGUCUGUUGUCAAAGCGUGGAGCUUAACUCCAUUUCAGCAAUGGAAACUGGGAGGCUUGAGUGUGGUAGGGGCAGAGGGAAUUCCCGGUGUAGCGGUGAAAUGCGUAGAUAUCGGGAAGAACACCAGUGGCGAAGGCGCUCUGCUGGGCCAUAACUGACGCUCAUGGACGAAAGCCAGGGGAGCGAAAGGGAUUAGAUACCCCUGUAGUCCUGGCCGUAAACGAUGAACACUAGGUGUCGGGGGAAUCGACCCCCUCGGUGUCGUAGCCAACGCGUUAAGUGUUCCGCCUGGGGAGUACGCACGCAAGUGUGAAACUCAAAGGAAUUGACGGGGGCCCGCACAAGCGGUGGAGUAUGUGGUUUAAUUCGAUGCAACGCGAAGAACCUUACCAGGGUUUGACAUCCUGCGAAUCCCUUGGAAACUUGGGAGUGCCUUCGGGAGCGCAGAGACAGGUGGUGCAUGGCUGUCGUCAGCUCGUGUCGUGAGAUGUUGGGUUAAGUCCCGCAACGAGCGCAACCCACGUCUUUAGUUGCCAGCAUUCAGUUGGGCACUCUAGAGAGACCGCCGGUGAUAAACCGGAGGAAGGUGUGGAUGACGUCAAGUCAUCAUGCCCCUUACAUCCUGGGCUACACACGUACUACAAUGCUACGGACAAAGGGCAGCAAACUCGCGAGAGCUAGCAAAUCCCAUAAACCGUGGCUCAGUUCAGAUCGUAGGCUGCAACUCGCCUACGUGAAGGAGGAAUCGCUAGUAAUCGCAGGUCAGCAUACUGCGGUGAAUACGUUCCCGGGCCUUGUACACACCGCCCGUCACACCAUGGAAGUUGGCCACGCCCGAAGCCGUUACUCCAACCCUUGUGGAGGAGGACGUCGAAGGUGGGGCUGAUGACUGGGGUGAAGUCGUAACAAGGUAGCCGUACCGGAAGGUGCGGCUGGAUCACCUCCUAA
rnacentral:rRNA from 1 species